rnacentral:lncRNA from 1 species
GGGUCUUGGGGUCAUUUGGUUAGGUUGUGGACCAGGUUGGUGUCUGUUUUGUUGGGGCCGAGACUAUGAGUGAGUAGAAUAUGCAGGCCUUGAACCAAAUCAAGUUCGGUGAGGGUGUGCUUUGGUGGCGAUAUUGGCUAUUACAGGAGCAGGAGCAGGUGAUGUUUUGACAGUUUCAUGCUUCAUAAGAGAUUCAAAAGUAUACAAUUUUUCACGAAGCUCGUCGAAGGAGAUUGUGGUUUCACGGGCACGAAUAGCAGAACUUAGAGAGCUGAAUUCAUCACCAAGGCCAGAUAGGAUUUUAUCUGUAAGAAGAUCAGGUGCGAGUGGUGCAUUCAUGAGAGAGAACGUAUCUGAAAGAGAUUUGGCAUACUGCAUAUACUCUGUGACCAAUUGAGAUCCUUUAUGUCGGUGAUCAAGGAGACCAGAGAUAUGCAUGAGGCGUCCCCGAGAAGGCGUAGCAUAGGUGUUAUGGAGGGAAAGCAAUGCUUCACAAGAAGUUUUUGCCAAGGCAAUGAAUGACACAAGGGUUGGAGAGAGGGAGCCGAGUAUUGCAUUUAAAAGAAGUUGAUCUUGUCGAAUCCAGAGAGAUUAUGCUGGGUUUGGGACUGAGAUAUUGUUGGUUGUAAUGGUGGGAGGUGGAGUGGGAAAUGAACCAUCAAUAUAGCCGGACAGGUUGUAGCCAAUGAGGAUUGUUUGAAACUGUUGGUGCCGGGAAGAAUAAUUUGUUUGAUUGAGUUUAAUGGGACAUUGGGCAGAAACGUUCAUACUGAUGAGAGAAUUGUUGUUGUCAAGUGGGUUGAGGAGUAAGGGUUGAGAGGUAGUGGUGGUAGGACCAGUGCUGGGUGUGGAGCUAUUAUCAGCAGAGGGGGAAGUUGUCAUGUUUGGAUCUUGUGGCUCUGAUGCCAUGAUAAAAUUGUUGAA